rnacentral:rRNA from 1 species
GAAAGCCUGACGCAGCAACACCGCGUGGAGGAUGACACUUUUCGGAGCGUAAACUCCUUUUCUUAGGGAAGAAUUCUGACGGUACCUAAGGAAUAAGCACCGGCUAACUCCGUGCCAGCAGCCGCGGUAAUACGGAGGGUGCAAGCGUUACUCGGAAUCACUGGGCGUAAAGGGUGUGUAGGCGGAUUAUCAAGUCUUUUGUGAAAUCUAAUGGCUUAACCAUUAAACUGCUUGAGAAACUGAUAGUCUAGAGUGAGGGAGAGGCAGAUGGAAUUGGUGGUGUAGGGGUAAAAUCCGUAGAUAUUACCAAGAAUACCCAUUGCGAAGGCGAUCUGCUGGAACUUAACUGACGCUAAGGCACGAAAGCGUGGGGAGCAAACAGGAUUAGAUACCCUGGUAGUCCACGCCCUAAACGAUGUAUGCUAGUUGUUGGGGUGCUAGUCAUCUCAGUAAUGCAGCUAACGCAUUAAGCAUACCGCCUGGGGAGUACGGUCGCAAGAUUAAAACUCAAAGGAAUAGACGGGGACCCGCACAAGCGGUGGAGCAUGUGGUUUAAUUCGAAGAUACACGAAGAACCUUACCUGGGCUUGAUAUCCUAAGAACCUUGUAGAGAUACGAGGGUGCUAGCUUGCUAGAACUUAGAGACAGGUGCUGCACGGCUGUCGUCAGCUCGUGUCGUGAGAUGUUGGGUUAAGUCCCGCAACGAGCGCAACCCACGUAUUUAGUUGCUAACGGUUUGCCGAGCACUCUAAAUAGACUGCCUUCGCAAGGAGGAGGAAGGUGUGGACGACGUCAAGUCAUCAUGGCCCUUAUGCCCAGGGCGACACACGUGCUACAAUGGCAUAUACAAUGAGACGCAAUAUCGCGAGAUGGAGCAAAUCUAUAAAAUAUGUCCCAGUUCGGAUUGUUCUCUGCAACUCGAGAGCAUGAAGCCGGAAUCGCUAGUAAUCGUAGAUCAGCCAUGCUACGGUGAAUACGUUCCCGGGUCUUGUACUCACCGCCCGUCACACCAUGGGAGUUGAUUUCACUCGAAGCCGGAAUACUAAACUAGUUACCGUCCACAGUGGAAUCAGCGACUGGGGUGAAGUCGUAACAAGGUAACCGUAGGAGAACCUGCGGUUGGAUCACCUCCUUUCUA